rnacentral:rRNA from 1 species
GUUGCCUGAGAAUUGGAUAGGAGUUCAGCCUCCAGGCUUCUCUAUUCACCGCGGUCUUACCCCUACCGAUGCACUAAAGAAGCCUAGAGAGUUAAUCAAAGGGGGUACAGCCCCUUUGAGACAAGAUACAACUUUUCCAGGAGGGUAAAGAUCAUAUUUACCCAAGGUAACAAUGCCCAGGUGGGCCUAAAAGCAGCCAUCCUUACAGAAAGCGUUAAAGCUCAAGCAUUACACCUUCCCACAUAUUCAGAUAACCAUAUCCCAACCCCCUAAUAUUAUCAGGCCAUCUCAUGCAUACAUGAGAGUGCACAUGCUAAUAUGAGUAACAAGAGAGCCUCCGCCUCUCUCCUUGCACACGUGUAAAUCGGAACGAACCCCCACCGAAACUUAACGGCCCCAAACAAAGAGGGCAAUGAACAACAAGUAAGCAACCAGAAAACCAUCCAAAAAACAACCGUUAACCCCACACUGGUGUGCCAUUAAGGAAAGACUAAAAGAAAAAGAAGGAACUCGGCAAACAUACCAAGCCUCGCCUGUUUACCAAAAACAUCGCCUCUUGCAAAAACAAAGAAUAAGAGGUCCAGCCUGCCCUGUGACUAUAUGUUUAACGGCCGCGGUAUUUUA